AUUGAACGCUGGCGGCAUGCCUUACACAUGCAAGUCGAACGGCAGCACGGGUGCUUGCACCUGGUGGCGAGUGGCGAGCGGGUGAGUAAUACAUCGGUACGUACCUUAUCGUGGGGGAUAACGCAGCGAAAGUUGCGCUAAUACCGCAUACGCCCUGAGGGGGAAAGCGGGGGACCGUAAGGCCUCGCGCGAUUAGAGCGGCCGAUGUCUGAUUAGCUUGUUGGUGAGGUAAAAGCUCACCAAGGCGAUGAUCAGUAGCUGGUCUGAGAGGACGAUCAGCCACACUGGGACUGAGACACGGCCCAGACUCCUACGGGAGGCAGCAGUGGGGAAUUUUGGACAUGGGGGCAACCCUGAUCCAGCAAUGCCGCGUGAGUGAAGAAGGCCUUCGGGUUGUAAAGCUCUUUUGUCAGGGAAGAAACAGCAGCUCUAACACAGUCUGCGAAUGACGGUACCUGAAGAAUAAGCACCGGCUAACUACGUGCCAGCCGCCGCGGUAA
rnacentral:rRNA from 1 species